rnacentral:rRNA from 1 species
UACAGAGGGUGCAAGCGUUGUUCGGAAUUAUUGGGCGUAAAGAGCUCGUAGGCGGCUUGUCGCGUCGGAUGUGAAAGCCCGGGGCUUAACUCCGGGUCUGCAUUCGAUACGGGCAGGCUAGAGUUCGGUAGGGGAGAUCGGAAUUCCUGGUGUAGCGGUGAAAUGCGCAGAUAUCAGGAGGAACACCGGUGGCGAAGGCGGAUCUCUGGGCCGAUACUGACGCUGAGGAGCGAAAGCGUGGGGAGCGAACAGG